CCCCAGUCAAGGAACAGCGGGCAGCAAGGGGACAUGGACGGAGCCCGGCGACUCGGCCGCAUGGCCAGGCUGCUCAGCAUCGUCUCCAUUGUCCUGGGGACCAUCAUCAUCGUGCUCUACGUUUCACUCAGCAUCAGAGUUUCCUAGAAGAUGUUUUAGCAUGCAAAUACCUCGAAGAGGAGGAAGACAACUUUCCUUUUGGGGUUUUUACUUUCGGCCUUGCAACAAAAAAAUUGUCACAGUGUAGGUGGGCAGCCCUAGACAGCCUGCUCUGGAGCGCCGUCUGAAGGAACGCAUGCUUCUACUUCACCGCCUCUUGGAAAUGAGUUUGUACAAGUGAUGGGAUAAAAAACAUGGCAAGAAGGAAUGGGAGUGAACAUCAGACGUCGAGUGGAGAGGAGAAGGGGGAAAUCCACUACCUCAUUCCCCUCCAGCAAAACUCGCGGAGUGGGGAGACAACUACAGUACAGGAGGAGGAGAGAGUUUCAAGAGCGAAGCAUAUUUUAAAAGGAAAUUUAAGGCAAGAACAGGACAUUUUAAGGAAUCCUCCUAAGAGUUUUGGCACAAGUCACUGAAUUUUUGGGGGGUUGUUGGUUUUUAAAUCAUCAAAUUCUCUGUCUCUACAAAAAA